CCAUGCAACAAAAACAAUAAAUCCCAUCACACUCAUUGUCGACAUAUUUGUCAACGAAUAAGUGUGCGUUUCGGCUUUCCUAUUACUUAUGCUUGACAGUUGAAUCGAUUCGAGCAGUUUGAGAAUGAGGCAAAACAUCAUACAGCCCUGUUGCACCGAAACUCUCCCACAGAUGGUGCUGUGGUACAACAGGCUGGGCAAACAGAUAUGCAAAAACAUAAAAACAUGGUGAGUUAUGCGAAACGAGGCUUCCUAUAUAAGAAAGCCAGUUUCUUAAGAAAUUCUCUCUUUCUGCUGUUGAUCCUCAAACGGAAUCGUAGUGCGCGCGUGUGUAGUGUUUUAAAUCGGCAAGGGUCAGCAAAAUCGCCAUACGUUGCAUCAUUGUAUCAAAGCAACUUUGUGAGCCCACAGUCUAAAAAAAUCAUGAAGAACACAAUGUGAAUACCGAACAUAUCUGUAACAUAAAACGACAAGUGAAACAAAAACAGAAAAAGGUCCGUGUAAAAGGGCCUUUUCUUUCUAUUAUUUUCCGAGUGUUGCAUCAUUGCUGUACCCUGAAUGGACUUCCCGGAAGGUCCGCGUCCGGUGAAUGCAUCGUGCCAAAAUCGUGGUCAUCGUUUAGAUUUCUGGUGCAGUACGAACCGUCUCUCGACUUGGGUGACGCAAUCCAUCCCGACAGCCUGUUGUUCUUCAUUGUCAGGCCGCCAUCUUCUAAAGAUCGUCGAGCACCGAAAUCGGCAGCGCACGCCAUCGUUCAUGAAUGGACUCACAUUACCGUCGAUCAACAAGAAAGGACACUGAAGUGCUACGUCACCGUAAGCACAGACCGGACAAAUAGCAAGCCCUUGGUCAUCGCAAUCCCCGAUAGCCCCCCCCUUUAUGAUGGGCUGUCGAUAUACAAAACCACCACCUAGGAUUCGGAUCCGAAAACAAGAACUAAACAUGCAAGUACCCAUUAUGUAACGUCACUAAUAAAAUUGUUAAAUGUUAAA